CCCUUAGAUGUUCUGGGCUGCACGCGCGCUACACUGAUGCGUUCAACGAGUCUGCCUUGGCCGAGAGGUCUGGGUAAUCUUGUGAAAGCGCAUCGUGAUGGGGAUAGAUUAUUGCAAUUGUUAGUCUUCAACGAGGAAUUCCUAGUAAGCGCGAGUCAUCAACUCGUGCUGAUUACGUCCCUGCCCUUUGUACACACCGCCCGUCGCUCCUACCGAUUGAGUGGUCCGGUGAAUAAUUCGGACUGCGAAGGGCCCGGUUUCCGAGUCCUUUGUAGGAAGUUUAGUGAACCUUAUCACUUAGAGGAAGGAGAAGUCGUAACA
rnacentral:rRNA from 1 species